UGAAUACGAGACGCUAAGGCGUCGAAGUAGUGUAUGUCAUACUUCCAAGAAAAGCUUGCACUGUCAUAAGUAAAAAAUGCCUGUACCAUAACCGACACAGGUGGGUAGGUAGAGUAUACUAAGGGGCGCGAGAUAACUCUCUCUAAGGAACUCGGCAAAAUAACUCCGUAACUUCGGGAGAAGGAGUACCUUAUUCUAUAAGGUUGCAAUAACAAGAUCCAAGCAACUGUUUAUCAAAAACACAGGUCUCCGCUAAGUCGUAAGACGAUGUAUGGGGGCUGACGCCUGCCCAGUGCCAGAAGGUUAAAGAAGUCGGUUAGCAUUAGCGAAGCUGGUAACUGAAGCCCUGGUGAACGGCGGCCGUAACAAUAACGGUCCUAAGGUAGCGAAAUUCCUUGUCGGGUAAGUUCCGACCCGCACGAAAGGCGUAAUGAUUUGGAUACUGUCUCGGAGAGGGGCUCGGUGAAAUAGACUUGUCUGUGAAGAUGCGGACUACCUGCACCAGGACAGAAAGACCCUAUGAAGCUUUACUGUAACUUGAAAUUGAAAUUGGACUUUAUUCGCGCAGUAUAGGUGGGAGGUGUUGAUUAUAAUCUUGCGGGAUUAUUGGAGCCAUCAGUGAGAUACCACUCUUGUAAUGUUAGAUUUCUAACUUUGAAUCAUUAUCUGGUCAAAGGACAGUUUCAGGCGGGCAGUUUGACUGGGGCGGUCGCCUCCCAAACGGUAACGGAGGCGUACAAAGGCUUCCUCUGAACGGGUAGAAAUCGUAUCUAGAGUGUAAAGGCAUAAGGAAGCUUGACUGUGAGACCUACAAGUCGAACAGGGACGAAAGUCGGUCUUAGUGAUCUGACGGUACUGAGUGGAAAGGCCGUCACUCAACGGAUAAAAGUUACUCUAAGGAUAACAGGCUGAUCUCCCCCAAGAGUUCACAUCGACGGGGAGGUUUGGCACCUCGAUGUCGGCUCAUCGCAUCCUGGGGCGGUAGUACGUCCCAAGGGUUGGGCUGUUCGCCCAUGAAAGCGGUACGCGAGCUGGGUUCAGAACGUCGUGAGACAGUUCGGUCCAUAUCCGGUGUAGGCGUUAGAAUAUUGAGAGGAGCCUUCUUUAGUACGAGAGGACCGAGAAGGACAUACCUCUGGUGUACCAGUUAUCGUGCCAACGGUAAACGCUGGGUAGCUAUGUAUGGAGUGGAUAACCGCUGAAAGCAUCUAAGUGGGAAGCCCACCUCAAGAUAAG
rnacentral:rRNA from 1 species